GACGAACGCUGGCGGCGUGCUUAACACAUGCAAGUCGAACGGUGAAAGAGGAGCUUGCUCUUCUGGAUCAGUGGCGAACGGGUGAGAAACACGUGAGUAACCUGCCCUUGACUCUGGGAUAAGCGUUGGAAACGACGUCUAAUACCGGAUACGACGACCGAUGGCAUCAUCUGGUUGUGGAAAGAAUUUCGGUCAAGGAUGGACUCGCGGCCUAUCAGCUUGUUGGUGAGGUAAUGGCUCACCAAGGCGACGACGGGUAGCCGGCCUGAGAGGGUGACCGGCCACACUGGGACUGAGAAACGGCCCAGACUCCUACGGGAGGCAGCAGUGGGGAAUAUUGCACAAUGGGCGCAAGCCUGAUGCAGCAACGCCGCGUGAGGGAUGACGGCCUUCGGGUUGUAAACCUCUUUUAGUAGGGAAGAAGCGAGAGUGACGGUACCUGCAGAAAAAGCACCGGCUAACUACGUGCCAGCCGCCGCUGUAACAC
rnacentral:rRNA from 1 species